rnacentral:rRNA from 1 species
ACGGAAGGCAGCAGUGGGGAAUAUUGCACAAUGGGGGAAACCCUGAUGCAGCGACGCCGCGUGAGCGAAGAAGUAUUUCGGUAUGUAAAGCUCUAUCAGCAGGGAAGAAGAAAGUGACGGUACCUGACUAAGAAGCUCCGGCUAAAUACGUGCCAGCAGCCGCGGUAAUACGUAUGGAGCAAGCGUUAUCCGGAUUUACUGGGUGUAAAGGGAGCGUAGGCGGUGCUAUAAGUCUGAUGUGAAAGCCCGGGGCUCAACCGCGGGACUGCAUUGGAAACUGUAGGACUGGAGUGUCGGAGGGGUAAGUGGAAUUCCUAGUGUAGCGGUGAAAUGCGUAGAUAUUAGGAGGAACACCGGUGGCGAAGGCGGCUUACUGGACGACAACUGACGCUGAGGCUCGAAAGCGUGGGGAGCAAACAGGAUUAGAUACCCUGGUA